AUGAGAAGUCUAUAUCUCAUUCUCUUCUACUUUGAAGUCCUUUUGUUCUAUUCUCAUUGUCAAUACAAAUAUUCUUUUUUACUUGAAUUAGAAAUUUUACAUGCGCCUGUUACUGUUUCAGCACAAUGGUCCCCAUUUACCAAUAGGGAUUUUACUUUGAAGAAAUUCUUUCAAUGGAGGGAGAUAGAUAGGGACAACCCAUUUCCCACAUACCGAAAAAGUUUACAAUCUCUAGUUUUGUUUCCAUUCUUACAAUCAUUAGGUAGUUGA